ACGUGUCCAUUACGCCCUGAAAGCCAGACGCAUUACAAGGGUCGUCGAGCCUCGAAGCGGGCAUUCGUCAAAAUCGAGGUACCAUAUUUCGAUGCGAGAAAUCAGAACUGCCAAUCUAGCGGAAUUAACGAGAGCGCCGCUCUGCCAUCAGAAUCGCCGUCUAGAUUUCUCGAAGAACCGCGACGAACCCUCACCUUACAAGAUCCCAUCGAUCAUCCCUCGCCAGAAUUCCGGAAGUUACGGAGGGGCAGGGGUACGGCUCGCUCGUUCGGGAAUGCCGAACCGUGCAACGCGAUACGGCCGGACGCAUUUUAAGUAGCGUAACCGUAUCGGUGUCCGAUCAAAAUCGCGUUCCUCACGGCGCCGCGCCGCGCCGCGCCGUACUCUUUUCUCCUUUGUGAUCGCCGAGCUCUACUCCUCGCCGAAUCACGUUUUUAUUUCCUCACUCGACGCCAGACGUGCAAUUGGAUAAUCAAUAACAAAAUGCAAAUUUUAGUGCUAUAAAAGUCUCCUGGAGAUGCAUUCCAUUUAUCCGACAGCCAGUUAUUUUGGCUUGUACAUCAAUUUUUUGCAAGUAAAUUUUAAACUAUUUUCAAUCGCAAAAUAUAAUCAAGACAAAAUAUAAGCAAAAUUAUUAGGACAAACUUACAAUUAGUAUUUCAGUAAUCACAUUCUACUAAUUUUUAAUAUAUUUUUAUUCGUAAAGAAUGUUUUAUUUUUUAGUAUAAAAUAAUGUCAACUACGUGCGUUUGCACGCAAAAAGAAAACUAAUCUCCAUUUCUUUUAAUAUAAAAAGUUUGAUCCUGUAUCCUAUCUUUUUAUAAUUUUAUAAUAAGUACAACUAUUAUUAUAAGUAAGAUUUCAUGUGUGACUUUCGCACAGGAUAUCAGUAUUGCGCUUUUCUUCAGAUGAAUUUCGCAAUUGUAUCAACUAUUGCAAUCCGCUGACCGUAAAUCGUACUGCUGACUCGCGUCUGACUAGAUCCCGCUUCUUUCACUUCAACCCGCACAGGAAGCUGCAGGAUGAUCUUCCAACGUUCUGCCGUUCUACAGCGAUAUUCCGAUGCGAUUUCGAUAUUCGGUAAACAAUAGAAGCCUAGCACCAGACCGCUAAGUACGAUUUCUGUCCGUAUCUAUCUGGCGAGAGGGGAAAUAGGUGGGUGCUUGAAGAGCAGGGAGAGACGGAGAGAACACGACGAUGAAGCGUUAGCAGCGAAAGCAGCGGGAGGCAUCGAAGAGAAUCCUUAUCCCUCUUAUCCUCGCACUUGCGCUGUUUCCAGCUUGCUACGAAUCCGGUAGCAAGGAUUACCUAACUGAGGAAAUUCAUCCGAGCGAAAAGAAGAGAGCAGCCUCAGCUCGAUCGGCAGACCGAUCGAUUAAUGGAAUAAAACUUCGACGCGAGUCGCGAUGCGAUGUGAGAGUCAUCGCGCGAAUGUAAGAUUCUCGGGGCAGCUGCGCCAGCGAGUGACCGCGGAAAUGUUCUCAUUUCUGCAAUCAUGACAGAUUAAUUUCAAUUAUUUCUUAGCAAAAAUAAUGUCGAAUGACAUCAAUAAAAUUACAUUAAUCCUUGGGUUAUAAAUGAGUAAAGAAAAAAAUCUUUUUAAUUAAACUUUGGCGGAAUCAAAUGGAUAAUAAAAUCACGUUCUUCAGUUAAUUUCAAGGGAAUCGAAGAGAAUUUUAAUUAGAGACAUGCUUGCAAAAAUAUAUGAUAAAAGUUUUAAAAAUUGUAGCAAAGUCGGCAUUCUUACUAAGAAAAAAUCAAAGAAUUAUUCAUGAAGAGGACGAUGAUUUUGAAAUAUCUUGUAUCACUUUGUAUAUACAAUCAUGUUCAAAAAUAAUGCCAUUUCAUAAAUUAA
rnacentral:lncRNA from 1 species